UACAGAGGGUGCAAGCGUUGCUCGGAUUUACUGGGCGUAAAGCGUACGCAGACGGUGAGAAAGGUCGGAUGUGAAAGCCCCAGGCUCAACCUGGGAACUGCAUCCGAAACCAUCUCGCUCGAGUGUGGGAGAGGGAAGCGGAAUUCCUGGUGUAGAGGUGAAAUUCGUAGAUAUCUGGAGGAACACCGGUGGCGAAGGCGGCAUCCUGGACCGGCAUUGACGCUGAGGCGCGAAAGCCAGGGGAGCAAACGGG
rnacentral:rRNA from 1 species